UGAGAGAGAGGGAGAAUUCUAUAACCUUUUAACUAGACGUUAAUCCUUUAAUGUGUCUGUGCCACAGAGCUAUGACCAUCAUAUGUGAUUCCCCUCUGGUAUAUCUUGUCUUCUUUUUUUUCCUCUCACCCAAGGCACCCAGUCCAUUUUUUGGCUAUAGAAUGCCCAGAAUAUUUUUUGAAGCCAUGACUUUCGUUGAGACAGAAUGACUUUAGGAAGAAUACAUUCUUUCCCUGGAUAGAAUAAGCUCUUCCAACCGAGCUGUGGAAAUAUUUUAUCUUUUGGGAGUGGUUUUCAGUUAAAGAGAAGGUCUUGGCUUAUUUCACAAGAGGUGUUCUUCCCAUUCACCUUCCAGGGACACAAGGGACUCUUUCUCAAAUUGUCAUCAUGAAAGCCUGGUAGUGUUCAUGAAAGGAAAGCUGUUUUGGGGUCCUUCUAAUGUUGCAGCCACCAAGAGUUUCUGUUUCACACCAAGUUUCUGUCUCACUCACUAUGUAAUCAACUCAUAGAAAUCCAUCAAAGUUAACAUUUAAGCAUUCCUUAUAGUUCAUGGCUCAGCAGCUUCUGAUCCAAGUAAGCAGAUGUUAGUAGCUCUAUCUUUGAAUGUGCCUACCUCUCCAGAUUUGGAAACGGGUGUUUUUCCUUGUGACCUCUGUUCUAUGACAGUUUCAAGAAAAAUAAUUGAUUUUCAUUUUCCAGAUUGUUCUUGUUGUAAGGACAAGAGUGAUGCCUUUCAAGCUCUGUACAUGUCAGACCUGAAAUCAAAAAUCUUUAUCAACUCCUACAUAUGUUUCUUAAGCUCUCAAAUAAACCACUUAAUCUCAGUUCUUUAUCUCAGCGUCUAUUUCUGGGAGAAUUAAAGCUAGGAAAAUCAUUAAGACAAUUCAUUAGAGAAACAGCUCUGUCUUACUCAAGAUUACUGUUACAUGAGACAGUAACACAUAUGCAUCAGAUCAUUACAUGUCUUUCUUCUUCUCAUUUGGGAAUUAUAUAUAUAUAUGUGUAUGAUUAUAUAUAUACAUAUAAUAUAUAUAUAAGCUAGCAUUUAGCUUCAGCACAGCUUUUGUAUUUUUUAUGACUUAAAAAUAAAAUCUCCCACAUCCUUGCUUUUCACAGGGAGAGUACAGAGUGAUGUUAAAUUUCAGCCAACUAUUAAAACAUGUGGUCCCUCAGAUCUUUCCAAAUGUGAAGAGAGGAGUCGAUCUUAGUCUUCUGGUAUUGUUUCAAGUUGUACUAAAUAUUGACUUAUAUUACCAGAGGGUCUACAAAGAACCAGCCAUAGUUUAGGGAUCUCUGUAGGAUCCAUGGAUGAAGGAAGAAACACAUGCCCUCAAAGAGGCAUUGUCUUGAUGAUGAUUAGUAUAGUCAAGUGAGACAGACAAGACUGUACUUGACUGAGGCUUGGAGAUCAAUACUUCUUUUAUGUGAAGAGAUUCUAAGGUUAGAAACCAUGCUGUUCAUCCAGUGGUUGUUAUCAGCUAAAUAAUCACAACAUAGAAGUAGAUAAAAAGUCUAAUGAAUGUAUCAUCUCACCUUAGUUCUCAUUCUGAAAAAAGUUAUCAAUUUUGAGAAACUAUUUUACUUGCCAUCAUUAUUGUAAACAUGAGCAUUAAGGUAUACAUUGUCCUUGCUGUUGGGUUGUUCUUGAAUUAGCUCACCAGAGAUUUCAUGUUCAAUACACACACUCUUGAAUAUUUUGUCUCUGCCUUCACCUUUGAUGAUGGUAUAGAUGGGUUUGCAUUUCUGUGGAAUCCUUAAAAAAGCCUUACAUUUAAAUACACAUUCUAAACUAUAACUCUCUUCAAAGCAUCUGUGACUUUUGAUAAAAUUGUGACUUUCUAACUCAACCCUUAGUUGUCCCUGUAUUGUCAGAAUUAUCUUGUUAUCCAUUCUUCAGCCUUGGAGAUAAUAGAACCUAGCUUUAACAGAAUGACAUAGAUUUUAAAACAAUAGCACAGUGUUUUAUCACACAGAAAUGGUUGCCCUUUUGCCUAAUAAGGAAAGGGUUUAAACCAGAUAAAGACUAACAUCAGUUUUUCCACAUGCUUAAUUUUUACCCUGACUCUCCCUCAUUGUUAAUGUAGUUUUAAGACUCCAGUGCCCAAAGAUGUUCUAUAGCUAUUUUCUUCCUGAAUAAACUUUCUAUUCUUUACAUUAAAAGAAAAGAUAAAAGAGGGAAAGAAUAUAGAAUAAAGUGUUUCUCUUAUAGGAGGAUGGAAAAGGAAAUCAUCAUUGAGGCAAGAGCAUUUUUAGCAGAGACCUGAUAGAAGCGAAAGUAUGUUUCAUGCAAACAUCUAGUAAUAAGAGCAUUCCAGGAAGGUAAAUAACAAGUGCAAGUGUCAGAGCAGGUGUACAGUAAAGAAGGCUUAAGAAAAAAUAAGGAAAUAAAGGUGGCUAAAGUGAGGCGAAAGAGAAUAAUGGAAGAUGAUGACAGAGAUGUGGCACAAGUAACAGGUAGAGUAAGACUUAUAGGUCAUUGAAAAGCUAUUUACUCUAAUAAUGAAGGGCUACUUGAGAAUGACGAACUGGAAAAUAAUGUCAUUUUAAGUUACUUUAGAAAAUGUAUCCUGUCAGAAAGGCAUUCGUAGAAAAUAUCAAAUAAAAACUGAUAAUUUUAUCCCAAUUCAUCUUAAAAGUCAAGCUCAGUACAAAGGGUUCUAUGCAACUAGUUUAUUUGGGAAAUGAUCCCAGGAAACAGAAAUGAAGUUCCAGGAAAGUAGAACAAGUAAGAAAGGCCAAUAUACUUAUGUAUGGAUAUAUCCAUAAGUAUAUGCAAAGGUAGAUCCAUACUUAUGUAUAUAUUUAAUGUUUGCCACUAUUACAAGUAACUUGUGCUCCUUCUCAUUGAGACCCUCUCUGGAAUCUUAGGAAUGUGUUUCAGGAGUUCCCAUUGUGACUCAGCAGAAAUGAACCUGACCAGAAUCCAUGAGGAUUCAGGUUCAAUCCCUUGCCUCAU
rnacentral:lncRNA from 1 species